rnacentral:misc_RNA from 1 species
GAUGAAGAACGUAGCGAAAUGCGAUAAGUAAUGUGAAUUGCAGAAUUCAGUGAAUCAUCGAAUCUUUGAACGCACAUUGCGCCCGCCAGUAUUCUGGCGGGCAUGCCUGUUCGAGCGUCAUUACAACCCUCAGGCCCCCGGGCCUGGCGUUGGGGAUCGGCGGAGCCCCCCGUGGGCACACGCCGUCCCCCAAAUACAGUGGCGGUCCCGCCGCAGCUUCCAUCGCGUAGUAGCUAACACCUCGCGACUGGAGAGCGGCGCGGCCACGCCGUAAAACACCCAACUCUUCUGAAGUUGACCUCGGAUCAGGUAGGGAUACCCGCUGAACUUAAGCAUAUCAAUAAGCGGAGGA